AGCCGAGGGUCUGGUAGAACGAGACUAAUGAUAUGGAGGAAAAAUAUACAUAAAAAAGUGAAUGUAGGUGAAAGCCUGUCCACUUUUCUGAAGAGAUUAGAGAGAAGAAAACUGUGUGACGUUAAAAGAAACCAGUGAGAUAAAAUCAUAGAAAAUGUAUGAUGAUUCAGGAUGUGGUCAUUUGGUCCUGUUCUGUGGAUGCCCUCAGACAGUGUCUACCCAUCACUCCAUGUGACCUUGGACUAAUUUUCUAGGUCAAAGAUCAUAGGUGAUGUGAAGAAAACCAGGAAACUGAUGUUGAAAGAAGUACUUAAUGACCCUUAUGAAUGGACUUGAAUGUGAAAGACUGUCUAUUGUUUAUCUAAGAUAUAUGAAUUUAUUUAAUAUUUUGAUAUCAUUGAAAAUUCAGUUACAGUUUUUGUACAUCAAAUGAA